GUCCAUUCCUGCUUAGACCGCUUCCGCGUUUGAUACGCAGCAUUUCCUGUUUGUAAAUGAAAGUAAAAGUAUUUUAAUGCUGGACUCUCCUUUUGUCAAUUAACGCGGAUAAGAUUCUGUAUUGCAAGAGGCCCCAGCAUCAGUCAUCUGGUCUAGAUCGGCACAAAAAUGGAGGGAGCUGUUUCUGAAAUGACCCCCCCUGUGGCGUGUAAAACAAAGAGAACUGACAGUGUCCUGAUGGAGAGAGCAGGCUCACCUGUACCCAGCUGUGUUUCCAUGAAGAGUGACAGGUCAAUGGACAAACAAAUCUUCUUCAGUGAGGGACAUUUUCCUACAGAUCAAAGG